GAAGGGUUGAACUCCAAU
rnacentral:rRNA from 1 species